rnacentral:rRNA from 1 species
AAUCAACGCUGGCGGCGUGCCUCAGACAUGCAAGUCGAACGCUGCUGUUCGCCUUCGGGUGGACAGCGGAGUGGCGCACGGGUGAGUAACACGUAGGUAAUCUACCUUUGGGUGGGGAAUAACAGCCGGAAACGGCUGCUAAUACCGCAUAAUGCAGCGGCAUCACAUGAUGACAGUUGUUAAAGCGGGGGAUCGUAAGACCUCGCGCCUGAAGAGGAGCCUGCGGCAGAUUAGGUAGUUGGUGAGGUAAUGGCUCACCAAGCCUGCGAUCUGUAACCGGCCUGAGGAGGGCGUCGGUCACACUGACACUGACAUACGGGUCAGACUCCUACGGGAGCAGCAGUC